rnacentral:rRNA from 1 species
UACGUAGGGUCCGAGCGUUGUCCGGAAUUAUUGGGCGUAAAGGGCUCGUAGGCGGUUUGUCGCGUCGGGAGUGAAAUCCACUGGCUUAACUGGUGGCUUGCUUUCGAUACGGGCAGACUGGAGGUAUGCAGGGGAGAACGGAAUUCCUGGUGUAGCGGUGAAAUGCGCAGAUAUCGGGAGGAACACCGGUGGCGAAGGCGGUUCUCUGGGCCUUACCUGACGCUGAGGAGCGAAAGCGUGGGGAGCGAACAGG